AACGAACGCUGGCGGCAUGCCUAACACAUGCAAGUCGAACGAGACCUUCGGGUCUAGUGGCGCACGGGUGCGUAACGCGUGGGAACCUGCCUUUAGGUUCGGAAUAACUCAGAGAAAUUUGAGCUAAUACCGGAUGAUGUCUUCGGACCAAAGAUUUAUCGCCUUUAGAUGGGCCCGCGUUGGAUUAGCUAGUUGGUGGGGUACAGGCCUACCAAGGCGACGAUCCAUAGCUGGUCUGAGAGGAUGAGCAGCCACACUGGGACUGAGACACGGCCCAGACUCCUACGGGAGGCAGCAGUGGGGAAUAUUGGACAAUGGGCGAAAGCCUGAUCCAGCAAUGCCGCGUGAGUGAUGAAGGCCUUAGGGUUGUAAAGCUCUUUUACCCGAGAUGAUAAUGACAGUAUCGGGAGAAUAAGCUCCGGCUAACUCCGUG
rnacentral:rRNA from 1 species